ensembl:lncRNA
CCCUACUUUACACAGACUCAGGUAUGCCAGGUGUCACUCAGAGCCUGUUCAGCCCAAGUGGCAGAGAGAGGUAGACGGAGCUCAGACACAGAUACGUUGAGGGUUUUCCCUGAGAGUUAUAUUUCCAAGGAUUCACUCACCUUCCAAGACAAGGGGGAGGACAUUUCUGCCUAUAAACAACAAGGUGUAAAAAAACAAUGCAUGAUGCGCAAUCACCACCCACUUGGGUACCAGAAACAAUACAGAGGACAUCCGCGCGCCACACCUUCCUACUGUUUAUCCAUGAGCAAAAGAUACACCGCCGACCCUCCCCACCGCAAAGCAGCUGAAGGCCUGUCAUCGGAACCUCAUAGCAUCUGGCUCGGAGGAUCAUCGUCCCUUCCCAAACUAUUUUAAUAAACGUUCAUACUUUAAUUUAGUCUUUGUUGUUCAUUCAGUUAGCCUGUCAUUGUUUGAACUGAUGUUAACAUGUAGAGGUGGUUAUUGGAUACUGUCUGCUUAGUAGAGGUGAGGGGAAUUAUGUGUUAAGUAGGUCAUAAUUUACAUGUAGUAAAUGUUAUUCUAGUAUUUGUAAGGUGGUAACUGUAUAAUUGAUGCGUGUACAUAGCUCUGAAAGGAAUGCUGUGAAGUUGUAAGACCUAACCAGGCCAGUGGAAGUCAGUGCUACUGUGGCUUCUUUAUUAAACAUCUACUUUUGUAUCUGAUUGGUUCCUCAAUAAAUAUUUCAUGACAGUAAAUGCACAGUGCGGAG